rnacentral:lncRNA from 1 species
CUUUUGCUAUUUGCAACAGCAGCCUGCCUAGCUCACUAACUACACUGCUCACUGGUCGUUGGCUCGUUGCUUCACAUAUUCAUCCCGCGGCAGCCGGCUGCUCUCUAGUCUCUCCCUCUCAAGAUUCAAUCGGUGCUUUACGAUCUCACUUACUUUCUGAAUUUCACGGUACGAUAUUUUGAUUGAUUCUUGGAUAAAUUUUUAGUUUUUAAAACUUUUGCAUCUUUUGUGAUUUCAUAUAUUGAAACUGUUAAUCGGGGUCCGGGUUCCUCAGGAAUUAGAGUUUGAAGGGUGCUCUCUUUUAUUUUGUAUAAUCUUUUGUGAUUUUUCUUUUAUUUUAUCUGUUUGAUAAUUCUUAUUGAUUCAUGGUGUGGUAGUCUAAUUUGGUACUCCCGAGUUAAAUCUUUAAAUUACCAGGACUCAGCUAGGAGGCAAGGUCUUAAUUAUUAAUUACUUAGUGCUUGUUUGGUUGACAUCUAGAUAUGUGGGCAGUAGAAGUUCCUAGGAAGUAGUAUUUGAUUAAACUGUUUGAUUGACAUUAAUUGGGGAAGUGUAAGUUCCCUAGAAUUUUAAAUGCCUAUAAAACAUAGGAAGUAUAAAACAUAGGAAGUUAUUGACCUAGACCCCCUUGGUAACUUGCACUUACUGUAGGAAGUUGAAACCUAUCUAUCAACCAAACACAAAUUUUAACUUCCCAUUUAUUAUAAUUUCCAUAGUAAUUUCAAAUUACAUAGGAUUUAACUUCCUAUUGGUAACCAAACAAGCACUUAGUACAUCAUCCUGAUUUCUAAGCACUGCAAUGCUGAGUUGUCGACAAUUGUGUACUGUAAUUUCUUGUGUUUCCUUUCAUGCCUAGUUCGUCGCUAUUGCCUAUUAGAAUUGUAUCAUUAUGUGCUACUAUGUCGUAAUAAUUAUCAUAAUGGCCUCUAGAAAAGAAUGGAUAUGCAGCUCUGUAAUAUUCCUAUGAGUUCGGCAUGCAGUCUGCUUGUGUUUUUUUUCUUUGUAGCUAAAGAAAUAUGCUGAGGGAGACAGAAUCUCCAGCUUGAGAUUUUAUUUUGGGAAUUUUAAUCACUUAUAGUAAUAAGUGUUUUCAGGCUUCCAAUCUAGAGCUUUUGAUUUAGGACCUCGAUUUAUGUAUUUUCUCGUUUUUCACUUAUAUAUCAGAAUGAUUUUGCACUUCGAUUUUGCAGUGUGUAUAUUAGGACUAUGAUCAAGCUUUUCUCCUUUAAAUAAAAUCACCUUUGCCACAGGCCACUCUUAAGUGAUUUGCCUCCCAACUUUUCUAGGAUCUUUUUUCCUCCUUUCUUUGAGAAUUCAUUGUUUCUUUGUAGCUAAAGAAAUACUCAUUACCUUGUCUCUGAGUUUCAAGUCUUGAACUUUGUUUUUCUCAGUCUCUCCUCCUAAAUGUUGCUACCAAAUUUCUUUUGCCUAGACUUCUUGUGGAAUUCUUGUAACAAAAAUUGCACAUUAUGAUUCCUCUUUGACCAGACCUCCGAGCAUUCUCAUUUUCCCUAAAUUUCACUAUUUACUAAUCGGGCUCAUCCAAGAUCUUUUCAUUAGUUUUCACCUUGUCCUCAUUUUGGACAUGCUUGAGAGCAUCAGCAUAAGAUCUUCUCAUAGCAAUCCUUCCAUCUUUCUUAUUCUUAUCUUCUCCUCUUUAUUGUCCAUUCUAUACUUUUCGAGGUUCGUGGGAUGAAGCAGAGUUCUAUUAGUGGAUUUGGUUCAACGCCAUUCUAACUACUUUAUAUCUCCUUCCCUUUCGAACAUCUAAAUCAGAAAGGUCUCAACAAAAUUAACUAAAGAUCACAACUAUCUCAAAUUUCUUCUCUAUUAUCUAUUCUAUUUCUCUCCAUUCCAAUCUUCAGCCCUCUCCGGUUACCUUUUCCAAAAUUUACGAUCAACCAUCAGUUCACUGAUUCUUUCAAAUUCAGAUUGGUGUUAAAGUUUGUUUCUAAAUAUCUGGUUUAUUAUAUAAACAAUGAAAAUAAUGUAGAUCUGAAAAGGAAUUUAAUACAAUUCAGCGUUGACAAAAGCUAGUAUUCCAACGUUACAUCACAUAGUUGGGAAUCACACACUAUUACUUGCAGGAAGUAAAGUUCUACUACGCACUUCGCCCCUUAGAUUAUAAAUGUAUACAGGAGUGGCACCGAUUACGAAGAAGAGAAUCAGUAGAUUCACACCAGCGCCCAGUGUCGAUUUGUCAGCUAGCAUGACACUAGUUCCUUCAACAAAAGCUACCAUCAUUGAGCAAAUCGCCAAAAAGUUUAAUGCUGCUGUGUUCCGGACUAUGCGUUUUACUUGACUCGCAUCUUUGUUAGAUGAUGUAAAGAAGUAGAGUAAUAACGAGGCAACCGACAACAUCAGGGCAAGUGCAUCAAGGAUAAUAAAAUAGGCAAAAUCAGUUUUUCUUAAAAGAACCGGUGAUCCUUUGCUCCCAUCAAAGCCCCCAGGCACGUUGAAUAGUACUGAGAAGGCCACUGUUGCAAUGAGUGCGGAUACUACCAUAUGGGUGUUGAUCGCUUUUCUGUGCUCCUCAAUUUCUAUGUUGUUAGUUAUUUCAGUAUGUUUCACAAUUCUCUUCCCACUAUCCGCAUUUGGCUCUCUGAGUGUACGCCACAACCACCAAUGCUUUCUAACAUUGGCCUUAAUGAGUGAUGUUCUAACCAAGAGCUGCAAUGAAAGAUUGUUGUAAUCAAAACUCACAGGUGUGAAUGAGAAUUAAUAAGCUAGCUGGUAUAAGUACCUGAUUGGCUAACGUAUGUGUUUCUUGUUCCAAAUGCAGUACGUCCAAGGGGGUGUAAUUGUUGGAAUCGAGUACUUCCCAAUCAACUUCCCACUCUGCUGGUCUUCUAUCUAUGAACAUUGAACGUAACCAUCUCAUCACAAUCCGCGAGGGACGUACUUUCAUCCCUCUUGUUCCCAUCAGCCUAUAAACAAAAAUUCCCAGCUUGGUAGGUGGAGUGGUGUAUUGCCGCUAUUGUCCCUUUUAGUUAAAAGGUUAUUGCUUGCUUGAAAACCACGGGACAAGAUAUAAUCAAUAACACCCUUUCGAUCUUCCUCCACCGCGAUAUGCAAUAUAUUUCGACCACUUCCAUCUGUAAUCUCCCAACAAUCUGGAAAAUGUUUGACAAAUGUCUUCAUGACAUCCACAUUUCCAGUGUAUGCUGCUAUGUGUAAAGGUGUUCUUCCAUACAUCUUGUCUUUAUGGUACGCCACAUAUUUGUCUUCAUCAGCAACUAGAAGUCCAAUUAUUAGUUCCACUAUUGUAUGAAGAUCGUUAUGUGCCGCAUAAUGAAAUACCGUCCAACCAUAAUCAUCUACUUCCUUUAAUAGACCUAUAUUCCAAUCCAAAAGACGUUGCACGCAUUCUGACAUAAGAACAAAAACACAAAACAAGAGUGAUCACUAGAAUAGAUCAGACAUCUGCAUGUAUACACAUUUAUAUAUACAUGAGCUCAAAUGACAAUUAUGUACGAACUUAGCACAAUACAGUACAUAGUAUUAUGCCAAAAAUUUAUUAAUUAUACAUCUGAAAGCUUAUGAACUCACAAAUAAGUAUACCUAUAUAUGUAAGUAACUGAUGUCUUGCUAAUAAGAAUGAAGUGCAAAUUUUUGUCAAUCUUCUUUGUGCUUAGGAGUCUUUAAUUCCCAUUAGAAAUUUUAAGGUUUUUUAUAGUUUGUAUGUACUUCUGAACAGGUAAACUCAAGAAUUUUACUCGAUGAUAACUUUAAGUUUUUCACAAUAAUCUAUGAAAUCACGUGUAGCCAUUUUCAUAUGUUUCUCUUUUCUUUGCUUAUUAGCCAUUUUCAUAUGUAUGUGUUUGUGAAUUUUAGCGAUUUUUCCUCUAACCAUAGAUCCUCCUUUUCCUUUCUUUUAUUAGGUGAUUUAUAUGAUUGGUGAGGUUGGUGAGUGCGUCCCCUACAUCUACAAAUGAUGUUUAUAGUUGGCUAAAAACAAUACUAAAAGAAGAAAUAAAAGUAUUUUCUAUUAAAAAAAUCAAUGCGAUUAAGUAGAAUGGUAAGGGUUUUUGGGACCAGUAAUGGAUCCCGAGAUAGGCCUUGACGGGGUCUAAGUGGGG